rnacentral:misc_RNA from 1 species
ACGUUGUACAAGAUAAUGUUUCAACAUGUAUAGACAGUUCCAGUUUGGAUCAUUACGCACAAGUACAUAGUGAAUGCUUCAGAGCUUUUAAGUGAGAUCAUUGUUGGCAGGUGAACGUCAAGGUCUUUUAUGAUCUGCUUGGAUAAUAAUUUGCUUGUCAAAUGUAUAGGGUGAAGAGAAACCUCCAAAAAGUCACUGUAUACUGAUACAAUUGUACCUGAAGAAGCUGUUCAAAACUGACUGUUUCUUCAAGCACAAAUACAAGUACUAGUCUAAGAAUGAUAGUUAAAAAAUGGUCUGAUUUUUGACCUAGAAUAAAAAUCUUGUAUUCAUGGCUCAAAACCAUUGCAAAAUAUCAUGUACAUAUUUUAUGUGUUGUCAACAACAAUCAUAAUGGUCAUAUAUUCAUCUCAUCGCUGUGGAUACAACAUUUCACAAAAAAGACUCCAUACUGUACCAAAUCAAAGCAGUGGGAAUUCAUUGUCCGCAUGUUGUGAAAUAAGUAAUUUGUUUGUAUUUCAUUUAAAUGUUUGGAACUGAUGAGUUCGUAUUGAAAUAUUUUUAAUAAAAAAUCAUUAAAUG